CCUCAAACUCCACUUUGAGUGGAGCUUGGUAGCACUUCCACACUUGUGAAGUUUGUGAGUUACAUAAAAAAUUAAAUUCCUAGCCAGGUCUUCCUAUUGGGUGAGGAGGCCCUUCCAAAGUUCCAGCGAAUUCCUUAGUCUGACACAACUUUUCUCAAUUCAGAAAUAUGCGUUUGGUAACAUAUAUUAAAAGCCAGAAAUAUGAAAAUGCAUAAACAAUAGAAUUGGACAUAAUUAUGUGAUAAAGUGAAAUGCUCCUGCAGUUAGUUAUUGAACAUGAAGGACCUCUCUAAUUCUUCAGAGAAACUGUGAGAUAAUCUCUACCACUUAUGCUUAGCAAGGAGCCAUGCUGCAGAAGAAAAGCAGAGGAAAAGUAGAAAUACACACGAGUGACAAAAGCAAAAAAAUACAUAUAUGAAAAACUCUGAAACCACCCUCGAUGAAAAGUAAUAUGUCUGUAUUUAAAGAGUAGGUAAAUCAUAUAGUGAAUUUAGAAGGUAAAAAACGAGGUCUAUAAUUACGUGAGUAUAUAGAAAAUGUUAAGUAUUUUCGUGAAAAGGUAUAUAAACAAUAAUGAAUAAUCAUUUCAUAUUGAAAAUAAUUUAAUUUUGAAAGGAGAUAGUACAGAUACAAAAAAAAAAGUCGAAGUAAGGAAAUAGCAGAAAUUUCAAAUAUUUCAGGAAUGUCUUUCUCCAGAGUAGCAUGUUGUUUAGAAACUAAAUUUCCACAGUAGAUUUCAUAGCUCCUGAACAUGAAUUAAAACCUUGAUAUUAGCUGCAGAAAUGUACAUUAGUUUGUGGGGAGGGGAGAAAGAAAAUAAUUUGCCAACCUCCCAACCAUUUCCCCAACAGAUUUUUGCAUCUUGGUCAUUACACUUACUUUCAAGAUUCUUUUCUUGGUUUAAACAUGUAAUCUUGUCUCUUUGCUCACUUGCUCACUCUUCAAGCAAGCCUACAGCCAAAUAAAUUGCCAUACAUGUUUACCAAUAAACCAUUAUUUUCCAAGGAA
rnacentral:lncRNA from 1 species